rnacentral:rRNA from 1 species
UUCCGUAGGGUGAACCUGCGGAGGGAUCAUUACCAGAGUGCCCUAGGCUCUCCAACCCAUUGUGAACUUACCAAACGUUCCCUCGGCGGGCUCAGCGCGCGGUGGCCUCCGGGCCUCCGGGCGUCCGCCGGGGAAAACCAAACCCUGAUUUAAUCGUAUUUCUCUGAGGGGCGAAAGCCCGAAAACAAAAUGAAUCAAAACUUUCAACAACGGAUCUCUUGGCUCUGGCAUCGAUGAAGAACGCAGCGAAAUGCGAUAAGUAAUGUGAAUUGCAGAAUUCAGUGAAUCAUCGAAUCUUUGAACGCACAUUGCGCCCGCCGGCACUCCGGCGGGCAUGCCUGUCCGAGCGUCAUUUCAACCCUCAGGCCCACCCUUCCGGGGGAGCGGGCCUGGUUCUGGGGAUCGGCGGCCCUCGCGGCCCCCGUCCCUCAAAUUCAGUGGCGGUCGCGCCGCAGCCUCCCCUGCGUAGUAGCACAACCUCGCACCGGAGAGCGGAACGACCACGCCGUAAAACACCCAAUUUUUUAAGGUUGACCUCGGAUCAGGUAGGAAUACCCGCUGAACUUAAGCAUAUCAAUAAGCGGAGGA